rnacentral:rRNA from 1 species
AUACGUAGAGGGCGAGCGUUGUCCGGAAUGAUUGGGCGUAAAGGGCGCGUAGGCGGCGCGGUAAGUCUGGAGUGAAAGUCCUGCUUUCAAGGUGGGAAUUGCUUUGGAUACUGCCGCGCUUGAGUGCAGGAGAGGUUAUCGGAAUUCCCGGUGUAGCGGUGAAAUGCGUAGAGAUCGGGAGGAACACCAGUGGCGAAGGCGGGUAACUGGACUGCAACUGACGCUGAGGCGCGAAAGUGUGGGGAGCAAACAGGAUUAGAUACCCUGGUAGUCCACACGGUAAACGAUGAAUGCUAGGUGUAAGAGGUAUCGACCCCUUUUGUGCCGGAGUCAACACAAUAAGCAUUCCGCCUGGGGAGUACGGCCGCAAGGUUGAAACUCAAAGGAAUUGACGGGG